UACGAAGGGGGCUAGCGUUGCUCGGAAUUACUGGGCGUAAAGGGCGCGUAGGCGGCUCUGAUCGUCGGAUGUGAAAGGCCUGGGCUCAACCUGGGAAUGGCAUCCGAUACGGCGGGGCUGGAGUGUGGGAGAGGUUGGUGGAACUGCGAGUGUAGAGGUGAAAUUCGUAGAUAUUCGCAAGAACACCAGUGGCGAAGGCGGCUCACUGGCCCGGUACUGACGCUGAGGUGCGAAAGCGUGGGGAGCAAACAGG
rnacentral:rRNA from 1 species